AUGGCAUCUAAAAAAACUACAAGUGGCAAUAGACUUGACGUGGGAUGGCAAUAUGGUAUAGAUGUUGACAAGAAUUCAAAAAGAGUGCAGUGUAAGUUUUGUCAGAAAAUUAUUAGUGGAGGCAUUUACCGUUUCAAGCAUCAUUUGGCUUGCACUCGAAAGGAUGUUGAGCCAUGCCAGCAAGUACCAGAAGAUGCACUUGAAUUGGUUGCAAAGCAUGGGCCAGGUUUUAAGCCUCCUAUCCUACCAUGAUAUUAGAGAAAAGUAUUUGAAGCAAGAAGUAGAUCACACGAUCAACUUGCUUGAGGAGUACAAGUUAGAAUGGAAAAAAACAGGUUGCUCAAUAAUGUCUGAUGGAUGGACUGAUAAGAAAAGACGUUCUAUUUGCAACUUUUUGGUUAAUAGUCCUAAAGGGACAAUUUUUUUAUCAUCCGUAGAUACCUCUAAUAUAUCCAAGACUGCUGAUAAAGUAUUUGAGAUGUUGGAUGCUAUUGUGGAGAGGAUUGGAGAGGAAAAUGUGGUGCAAGUAGUCACUAACAAUGCUGCAAAUUAUAAGGCAGCAGGGCAAUUGUUGAUGGGAAAAAGAAAAGGAUUGUUUUGGACACCAUGUGCUGCCCAUUGUAUUGACUUGAUACUGGAAGAUUUUGAGAAGAAACUAGAGGUCCAUCAAGUAACUAUUGCUAAUGGGAGGAAAAUCACCUCAUACAUAUAUUCAAGAACUAUUCUCAUUUCCAUGCUCAGACACUUUACAAAAGGAAAGGAUUUGAUUAGGCCUGCUGCCACUAAAUUUGCUACUGCAUACUUAACUCUUGGAUGUUUGAGUGAUUGUAAGAUACAGUUAAUGACAAUGUUUACUUCCAUCCAAUGGAGGUCAUGUAGGUUUUCAAAAACAGAAGAAGGGAAGCGAAUUCAAAGUUGUGUUUUGGACAGCAAGUUUUGGCAUGAUGUUACUACAUGUAUUAAGGCAGCAUAUCCUCUGAUAAAAGUUCUUCGAUUAGUUGAUUCAGAUGAGAAACCAGCUAUGGGUUUUAUAUAUGAAGCAAUGGAUCAAGCAAAAGAGAAGAUACAAGUGAAUUUUGGUUCUGUGAAAAAAAGUUAUAUGCCUAUAUGGAAUAUCAUUGAUGCAAGAUGGGAACUUCAACUUCACAGACCUUUACAUGCAGCAGCAUAUUAUUUGAAUCCUCAUUAUCAUUAUAAUUCUAAUUUUAAAGUUAAUGCCAACAUUAAAAUUGGAUUAUAUCAAUGCUUAGAAAGGAUGGUGCCCGAUGCAAGUGAAAGGUGUAAAAUUGACUUGCAACUUGAUUCAUUCAAGGAUGCAAGUGGGUUGUUUGGUAUUGAGGCUACCAAGAUAACAAGGGAUAAAAAGACUCCAGCUAAAUGGUGGGAUUCUUAUGGGGAUGAAUGUCCAGAGCUACAAAAAUUUGCAAUUCGAGUUCUAAGCUUGACUUGUAGUUCAUCUGGAUGCGAGCGAAACUGGAGUGCAUUUGAGAUGGUUCAUACAAAACGAAGAAAUCGUUUGCACCAGAAAAAAAUGAAUGACUUGGUAUUUGUAAUGUGCAAUCUGAAAUUAAAGGAUAACCAAGUCAAAAAGCAAGCUAAUGAUUUUGGUGAAGUUUUUGAUCAUCUCUCAUCUGAUGAUGAUUGGAUAAUCGAGGGAGAGAAACGUGAUGGUUCAUCCAACUUUGAUUUGCUUGGUGUCAUUAAUAGUGCAACACGAAGAAAAAACGGUAAAGAAGAUGAAAGUGAUGAUGAAGAAAAUCUUAAUGAUGUUGGGAUGGAGUGUCAUGGAACUGAAGAUGAUUUAGAGAUUCAGAAUGAUGUCAAUCCAGAUAAUUCAAGGAGCUUGGAGUUAAAUAUUGUUGACAAUAUUGGUGUUGGUCCUGGUACUAGUAGUAGCACUAAUGUUUCUAAUAUUGGUGCUGGUACUAGUAGUAGCACUAAUGUUCCUUUAGAUGGUAAUGAUUUUGAUGACUGUUUUAGGAAUAAUGAGGGAGACAAAGGCAAUGAGGGUGUGUUUAGUUUACAUGACACACCUACAGAUUGUUUGUUUUAGGUGUGUUAACUUUUAGUUAUUGAAAUACUAUGGACAUGUAUGGAUUUUUAUUUGAAUUAUGUAUUUUAAGAUGUUUGGAUAUUUGUAUUGUUUAUUUUACUUUUAUUUGAAUUAUGUAUUUUAAGAUGUUUGGAUA